UACGUAGGGUGCGAGCGUUGUCCGGAAUUAUUGGGCGUAAAGAGCUCGUAGGCGGUUUGUCGCGUCGACUGUGAAAACCUACAGCUUAACUGUGGGCUUGCAGUCGAUACGGGCAGACUUGAGUUCGGUAGGGGAGACUGGAAUUCCUGGUGUAGCGGUGAAAUGCGCCAGAUAUCGGGAGGAACACCGGUGGCGAAGGCGGUUCUCUGGGCCUACCUGACGCUGAGGAGCGAAAGCGUGGGGAGCGAACAGG
rnacentral:rRNA from 1 species